ensembl:snRNA
GUGUUAUAUGAAAGGAGAGAAGGUUAGCCCUUUCCUUGACAAGGAUGGAAGAGGGCCUUUGGCCUAACAGCAAAUGGCAUGUCCCUGUCUAACAAAAGUUGAAUAGAAAUUUUU